AUAAUACUCCCUCCGUCCCAAAAUAAGUGUCUCAACUUUGUACAAAGUUGAGACACUUAUUUUGGGACGGAGGGAGUACAUG
rnacentral:pre_miRNA from 1 species